rnacentral:tRNA from 1 species
UCCGCCUUAGCUUAGUGGGAAAGCACCAGAUUGUGGCUCUGGGGACUCAGGUUCAAUUCCUGGAGGCGGGA